rnacentral:rRNA from 1 species
AUUGAACGCUGGCGGCAUGCCUUACACAUGCAAGUCGAACGGUAACGGGCCUUCGGGUGCCGACGAGUGGCGAACGGGUGAGUAAUGUAUCGGAACGUACCUUUCAGUGGGGGAUAACGUAGCGAAAGUUACGCUAAUACCGCAUAUUCUGUGAGCAGGAAAGCAGGGGAUCGCAAGACCUUGCGCUGAUUGAGCGGCCGAUAUCAGAUUAGCUAGUUGGUGAGGUAAAGGCUCACCAAGGCGACGAUCUGUAGCGGGUCUGAGAGGAUGAUCCGCCACACUGGAACUGAGACACGGUCCAGACUCCUACGGGAGGCAGCAGUGGGGAAUUUUGGACAAUGGGGGCAACCCCGAUCCAGCCAUGCCGCGUGAGUGAAGAAGGCCUUCGGGUUGUAAAGCUCUUUCGGCCGGGAAGAAAUCGUAUGGGUUAAUACCCUGUGCGGAUGACGGUACCGGCAUAAGAAGCACCGGCUAACUACGUG